rnacentral:rRNA from 1 species
CUAAUACAUGCAAGUCGAGCGGACCGACGGGAGCUUGCUCCCUUAGGUCAGCGGCGGACGGGUGAGUAACACGUGGGUAACCUGCCUGUAAGACUGGGAUAACUCCGGGAAACCGGGGCUAAUACCGGAUGCUUGAUUGAGCCGCAUGGUUCAAUUAUAAAAGGUGGCUUUCAGCUACCACUUACAGAUGGACCCGCGGCGCAUUAGCUAGUUGGUGAGGUAACGGCUCACCAAGGCGACGAUGCGUAGCCGACCUGAGAGGGUGAUCGGCCACACUGGGACUGAGACACGGCCCAGACUCCUACGGGAGGCAGCAGUAGGGAAUCUUCCGCAAUGGACGAAAGUCUGACGGAGCAACGCCGCGUGAGUGAUGAAGGUUUUCGGAUCGUAAAACUCUGUUGUUAGGGAAGAACAAGUACCGUUCGAAUAGGGCGGCACCUUGACGGUACCUAACCAGAAAGCCACGGCUAACUACGUGCCAGCAGCCGCGGUAAUACGUAGGUGGCAAGCGUUGUCCGGAAUUAUUGGGCGUAAAGCGCGCGCAGGCGGUUUCUUAAGUCUGAUGUGAAAGCCCCCGGCUCAACCGGGGAGGGUCAUUGGAAACUGGGGAACUUGAGUGCAGAAGAGGAGAGUGGAAUUCCACGUGUAGCGGUGAAAUGCGUAGAGAUGUGGAGGAACACCAGUGGCGAAGGCGACUCUCUGGUCUGUAACUGACGCUGAGGCGCGAAAG